ACUUAGGUGGCAAGCGUUGUCCGGAUUUAUUGGGCGUAAAGGGAGCGCAGGCGGUGUAUAAAGUCUGAUGUGAAAGUCCACGGCUCAACCGUGGGAUUGCAUUGGAAACUGAUACACUUGAGGAUAGAAGAGGAUAGUGGAAUUCCAUGUGUAGUGGUGAAAUACGUAGAUAUAUGGAGGAACACCAGUGGCGAAGGCGGCUAUCUGGUCUAUCACUGACGCUGAGGCUCGAAAGCAUGGGGAGCAAACAG
rnacentral:rRNA from 1 species